AGAGUUUGAUCCUGGCUCAGAGUGAACGCUGGCGGCGUGGAUUAGGCAUGCAAGUCGAGCGAUCUUUGCUUGAUACUUACUGGAGUGCUUGCACAAAGGUAAGAGGAUAGCGCUAGAUAGCGGCAAACGGGUGAGUAACGCGUGAACAAUCUUCCCUUAAGUCUGGCAUAGCUUCGUGAAAACGGAGGUAAUACCGGAUGUGUCCCGAUCAUCGCAUGGUGAACGGGGUAAAGGCGGGGAAUCUUCGGAUCCUGCCUCUUAGGGAUGGGUUCGCGUCCUAUCAGCUUGUUGGUGGGGUAACGGCCUACCAAGGCGUUUGACGGGUAGCUGGUCUGAGAGGAUGGUCAGCCACACUGGGACUGAGACACUGCCCAGACUCCUACGGGAGGCUGCAGUCGAGAAUAUUUAGCAAUGGGCGAAAGCCUGACUAUGCGACGCCGCGUGAGGGAUGAAGGCUUUCGGGUUGUAAACCUCUUUUAUCAGGAAAGAAAAACUUAUAGUUAAUAGCUGUAAGUCUGACGUACCUGAUGAAUAAGCCACGGCCAACUCCGUGCCAGCAGCCGCGGUAAUACGGAGGUGGCAAGCGUUACUCGGAAUCAUUGGGUGUAAAGGGCAAGUAGGCGGUUUAUUAAGUGAGGGGUGAAAUCUUCCGACUCAAUCGGAAAACUGCCUUUCAAACUGAUAGACUUGAGGCAGGUAGAGGGAAAUGGAAUUCCAGGUGUAAGGGUGAAAUCUGUAGAUAUCUGGAAGAACACCGGCGGCGAAGGCGAUUUCCAGGGCCUGUCCUGACGCUAAACUGCGAAAGCUAGGGGAGCAAACAGAAUUAGAUACUCUGGUAGUCCUAGCCGUAAACGAUGAGUACUAGGUGUCGGGUCUUAACGAUUCGGUGCCGCAGCUAACGCAUUAAGUACUCCACCUGGGGACUACGGUCGCAAGGCUAAAACUCAAAGGAAUUGACGGGGGCCCGCACAAGCGGUGGAACAUGUGGUUUAAUUCGAUGCUACGCGAAGAACCUCACCAAGGUUUGACAUGCAGGCAGUAGUGACCUGAAAGGGAAGCGAGCCGUCAAGUCCGGCAAUCUGCACAGGUGCUGCAUGGCUGUCGUCAGCUCGUGUCGUGAGAUGUUGGGUUAAGUCCCGCAACGAGCGCAACCAUUUCCCUAUGUUGCCACCACAUUCGCGCCUUCGGGUAUGAAUGUGAGCACUCUUAGGGGACUGCCCGGGAUAACCGGGAGGAAGGUGGAGAUGACGUCAAGUCAGUACGGCCUUUAUGCCUUGGGCUACACACGUGUUACAAUGGCUGAUACAAAGGGUUGCCAACCCGCGAGGGGGAGCUAAUCUCUAAAAAUCAGCCUCAGUUCAGAUUGGAGUCUGCAAUUCGACUCCAUGAAGCCGGAAUCGCUAGUAAUGGAAGAUCAGCACGCUUCCGUGAAUACGUUCCCGGGCCUUGUACACACCGCCCGUCAAGCGAUGGGAGCCGGGGGUACCCGAAGUCCUAUGUAGAUAGGCCGAAGGUAAAUCUGGUGACUGGCGCUAAGUCGUAACAAGGUA
rnacentral:rRNA from 1 species